UACGUAGGGUGCAAGCGUUAAUCGGAAUUACUGGGCGUAAAGCGUGCGCAGGCGGUUAUGCAAGACAGAGGUGAAAUCCCCGGGCUCAACCUGGGAACUGCCUUUGUGACUGCAUAGCUAGAGUACGGUAGAGGGGGAUGGAAUUCCGCGUGUAGCAGUGAAAUGCGUAGAUAUGCGGAGGAACACCGAUGGCGAAGGCAAUCCCCUGGACCUGUACUGACGCUCAUGCACGAAAGGCGUGGGGAGCAAACAGG
rnacentral:rRNA from 1 species